UUGUAUUUAUAUUUUUCAAUAUUAAUACAAUUAUUAUGCUGAUUACACCAAAAUGGAUAAAUCCGCAUCGCCCAAAUCUGAAAAGUCCUAAUUCAGAAUUAAUGUACAAGAACGUUAUAUUAGCAAACCAGUAGGUUAGCUGAAUGGGCAACAACACUGCAAACAGUAAAUUUACAUUUAUGCAUUUGGCAGAUUCUUUUGAUCAAAGCAACUUACAGUGCAUUCAAGAUAUAUAUAUAUAUAUAUAUAUAUAUAUAUAAAGGUAAAGGUGGCUUGACUUGACUCUUUCUCUACUGGACCAACCCCAGGAACAGGAACAUUUGAUAAAUGUGAAAAUCAUUGUUUUUUUUAGUAUUUUAGUGAUAAAACCGAAAGUACAUUUCAUAAUAAUCUUAUGUUUUAUGAUAAUGAUUGUGAAAAAGGUCAGUUUGGAGUUUUGUAGGCCUACUAUGUUUGUAAAUGUACCACUUGUGAAAAACUAAAACCGUGACGAGCAUCCUAAAACAGGCCCAUUCUGAAUCAUUCGCGCAUUAGUGACUCUUUUGAGUCUGUUCUUUUCAGUGAAUCAGCCAAAUGGUUACGCAAAGCCUGCAGUCUGAAUUAGGGAUACUUCAGAACACAGAAGAUAAAGAGGACAUUUACCUACCAUCAGCAGAAAUAAAAAGUUCUUCCUGUUUGCGCAAGGGCCUGUACUGAGAAGUACCAUGAAAGGACCGCUGUUACUGCAUUUACUUUUCCUAGGUGUGUUGUUGUAUGAUGCUUUGGCAUGGGAUGUGAGAAUGCCAAAAGUCAUUCGCGGCCUCAGAGGUUCCUGCUUGGUUAUACCAUGUUCUUACUACUACAGCUCAAACCCACCCAAAAACCCACAUAGAGUUGUGUGGUAUCAGUGGGUUUCUCUGGGCUAUCCUUUAGUUUACGAUCCAUUGCAUCCAAAAUAUGUCAUUGAGAAGUUCAGAGGGAAAACGGAUUUAUUCGGAAGCUCAAGUUGGGAUUGCAGUCUGCUGAUCAAAAAUCUGGAGCAGGUCCAUCAUGGACAGUUAUUAUACGCAUGGAUUGACCCUGAAAAUGUUAGCUGGCGCACCUACAAGUUUUAUGAUGUCACCUCCGCAAUUCUUGUUGACGCAAGUCCACAGCAGCCCAGCAUCAAGAUCUAUGGAGGUGUACGGACGGGUGACACCAUCACAGUAGUGUGUUCGACUUUACACACGUGUCCAUACAGCAAACCAAACAUCACUCUCAACAACAUUGAAGGAUCUGAUGAAACAGACAAUGAGCAUAUUGAAGACGGCCUGUGGAAAAUCACUCUGACGCGCACAUGUUUCACAAUUGCAGAAAACGCCACUAUUGAGUGUUCAGUAACAUAUUAUGGCGGCAUAACAGUUACAGCUAUGAAGAGAAUAAAUGCUCAAUCCCCAAGCAAUGAAGAAGCAGACGUGCCCAUUCCAGUUAAGACUGAUUGGCUUUACAUCCUAGUGCCCUCACUUGUGUGCAUCCUUGCUUGCAUACUUGCUGGUGUCAUACACAAGAUUCGACACAGACGGACCCCUGGUGAUAUGCAAGGAUCUGAACAGAAGGUUGAGGCAUCGCUAGUGAGGGAAAAAGUGACAUUGCGUAUUGGGGGCCCAUAGCUAUUGGAAGGUCCACAACGAUCCCUCAAGGGUGCCUUAAGCAAUUCAUACCGAAAAACUUUUCUACCGGCUGCAAUUUUGAGCAGGGAGGACUGUCUUCUCACACUCCAGACUGCUGAAUACUGUACAGAGCACCCGGAAAACCCAGCGACACCAAGGUCUGCGGUGAUGGAGAUCACUUGCACAAAGAAGUGUCAUGUUAGCAGAAUGAAUUUGCAGGCACUUGGUCUCAUUCACUAAAAACUCCAAACAAACAUCAUUUUGGCCUUAUUUGGCAUUUAUCCGAAAAUGAAGUUUUUUUUUUUUUUUUAUUUCAAAUUUUUCUGUAGAAGUAUAUCUGGGCCUUAACCGUGCAUAUGCAUGGAUUUGUGCAUAAAAUCUGUGCGUUAAUCAACUUUUGUACUAAAAUUUAUUCUAAAUUUAUGAAAAACCGUAGGAACACCUGAAACCACUGAUACAAAGAUCUCAUACUCUGCUACACAUGGUCAUUUAGAACACUACAAUUACAUUAUCAUUAUGACGAGGAUAAGAGCAAAUUGUGAAUUAAGUGGGAAGUUCUCCCGUGUGAAAAAAUACGAAUAAUCCACAUUAAUUAUUCCCUAUUAGUGAAUAAGACCCACUGUCUGUCAUGUCUUUGAUUAUCAGUUGUAACAUACACACCAAAUGUUACAUUUUUUAAUAAGUAACAUUUUCCAACUGAUCCUUAAAAAAAAAAUAAAAAAUCCAACAUAUUUUUGCA
ensembl:lncRNA